rnacentral:rRNA from 1 species
ACGGGAGGCAGCAGUGGGGAAUUUUCCGCAAUGGGCGAAAGCCUGACGGAGCAACGCCGCGUGAGGGACGAAGGCCUCUGGGCUGUAAACCUCUUUUCUCAAGGAAGAAGAUAUGACGGUACUUGAGGAAUAAGCCACGGCUAAUUCCGUGCCAGCAGCCGCGGUAAUACGGGAGUGGCAAGCGUUAUCCGGAAUUAUUGGGCGUAAAGCGUCCGCAGGCGGCUUUUCAAGUCUGCUGUUAAAGCGUGGAGCUUAACUCCAUUAUGGCAGUGGAAACUGAUCGGCUUGAGUAUGGUAGGGGCAGAGGGAAUUCCCGGUGUAGCGGUGAAAUGCGUAGAUAUCGGGAAGAACACCAGUGGCGAAGGCGCUCUGCUGGGCCAUUACUGACGCUCAUGGACGAAAGCCAGGGGAGCGAAAGGGAUUAGAUACCCCUGUAGUCCUGGCCGUAAACGAUGAACACUAGGUGUCGGGGGAAUCGACCCCUUCGGUGUCGUAGCUAACGCGUUAAGUGUUCCGCCUGGGGAGUACGCACGCAAGUGUGAAACUCAAAGGAAUUGACGGGGGCCCGCACAAGCGGUGGAGUAUGUGGUUUAAUUCGAUGCAACGCGAAGAACCUUACCAGGGUUUGACAUCCUGCGAACCUCUUAGAAAUUUGAGGGUGCCUUCGGGAAUGCAGUGACAGGUGGUGCAUGGCUGUCGUCAGCUCGUGUCGUGAGAUGUUGGGUUAAGUCCCGCAACGAGCGCAACCCACGUUUUUAGUUGCCAGCAUUUAGUUGGGCACUCUAGAAAGACCGCCGGUGAUAAACCGGAGGAAGGUGUGGAUGACGUCAAGUCAUCAUGCCCCUUACACCCUGGGCUACACACGUACUACAAUGCUACGGACAAAGGGCAGCAAACUCGCGAGAGCUAGCAAAUCCCAUAAACCGUGGCUCAGUUCAGAUCGUAGGCUGCAACUCGCCUACGUGAAGUAGGAAUCGCUAGUAAUCGCAGGUCAGCAUACUGCGGUGAAUACGUUCCCGGGCCUUGUACACACCGCCCGUCACACCAUGGAAGUUGGCCAUGCCCGAAGUCGUUACUCCAACCCUUGUGGAGGAGGACGCCGAAGGUGGGGCUAAUGACUGGGGUGAAGUCGUAACAAGGUAGCCGUACCGGAAGGUGCGGCUG